GUAAUUUAUCUACUAGGUGCUGGAACUAGCAGUGUGGAGGGUGCUCCCGCACCCCCGGCUUGAUGUGGUUUCCAUUACAUCCAGGGUUUACAGUUUGGUUCAAUGGCUCUCAGCACCCCCACUAUACAAAUUGUUCCAGCACCCGUGGAGUGAGGGGCGGGGGAUGAGGCAUGGGGCAGUGGAGAUGAGAUGGGGAAGAAAAGGGGAUAGGGGAAUCCAGGGGGGGAAGUGGGAGCCCAGCCUGCAGCAUCCCCUUGGCAGCAGCUGGGGCUCCCCUGUUAAACAGGCCUGUCGAACCUCCCUACACCUGGACCUCCUCCCCCAUCCCGGACAAGUCCCCCACCCCACUGAGCUACAGCCAGCUGCACCUGGACCCCCAAACCCUGCACACACAUCCCUGCACCUGGAUCCCCUGCAAAGUCCCAUUACCGCUG